rnacentral:rRNA from 1 species
UACGAAGGGGGCGAGCGUUGUUCGGAAUCACUGGGCGUAAAGGGCGCGUAGGCGGCCCUCCUUGUCGCGUGUGAAAGCCCCCGGCUCAACUGGGGAGGGUCACGCGAUACUGCUCGACUCGAAGGCAGGAGAGGGAAGUGGAAUUCCCGGUGUAGUGGUGAAAUGCGUAGAUAUCGGGAGGAACACCAGUGGCGAAGGCGACUUCCUGGCCUGUUCUUGACGCUGAGGCGCGAAAGCUAGGGUAGCAAACGGG